CCCACCGUAUCCCAGAAUACAGUUCGUACAGCAUCACUGAUACAUCAUUGCUACAUCACUGACAUGUCACAAAAGGGGAGGGUUACACAUGUUUAGCAUAGACAGAUGUGUCAGGGCAACACACAAGUAUAAGAUUAGUGUAGACAAAUAUGUCUUAAGUACCCACCACCCAAAAGUACAAUAGAAGUUCCUUUGCCUGUCUGGAGCCUGAGGUGAGUCAGGUGAUGAGAUUUGGCUUCCUUUGGCUAACAAUCAGCUCAGCAAUUGUCACCCCUGGCCACUUCCUGGAGUCCUUUUUCAAGGGAAAAUAGCUUUGGAAUGGAGGAAACUGGCAAGGAGUUGAUUUUAUAUUAUUUUUUAAAAGCUAGGUGACUUCCCUGAGCUGUCAAGUUGAAAGGAUACAUUCAGGCAUAAUAUUUGUAACAUUUAACAACUUUAAAGAUGUGUCUCCCCCCCCCCCCCCGUAAUUUCCGUAACAGUGGCCAUUGCUGCUUCCUAUGGUAGCCCCAUGUAGGGGCGUGACAAGAUCCAGUCCUGGGGGGCACUGAAGAAUCUGGGGCAAGAUCCCUCUCCUCCAGAAAGGGGUGCCACCUGCACACGGGGCGGGCAUUCAGCUGCGAUGUGAGAAGUGGGUCUGGAAGGGGGCAGCCCCAAAGCAAGCGUCUCCCAGAGCCCAUCAGCGCCAGCUGGGCCUGAAAAGCGGAAGGGAGGAGGGGACAUUCUACCACAUGUGGUGGGAUUGUAAUGAAAUUAAGAAAUUUGGGAAAUGAUAUACAAUGAAUUGAAGAAAAUGUUCCAUCUAACGUUUGUCAAAAAACCUGAAGCAUUUCUGUUAGGGGUUGUAGGAAAAGACCUGCCAAGGAAGAUGAAAAAUAUCUUCAUGUAUGCGACAACGGCCGUGAGAGUCUUAAUAGCACAAGGAUGGAAAUCCCGACUAAAGAAUCAUGGCAAGAGAAAUGGAUGGACUAUGCAGAACUGGCAAAACUGACACAUAAACUACGGGACAAGGAUAACUGUGACUUUAAAGAGAAAUGGGAACCUUUUACAAAGUACCUAAAGAAGCAACAAAGUGACUUGGACUCUUUGGCAGGCUUUGAAUAAACACUGACAAACUUUU